AUCCAUGGAGCACAAAUCAAAAUAGAAGUAGGAAGACCAAAGCAACAAUAUACAGUACAUAGAGGAUUGAGUAUAUCAUUGCAAACCAGAGAAUAUGGGUUGCUUAAUUUUCCUAGAUGUAGAUCAAAUAAGAAAAACACAUAAAAGUUUAUAAGGUACAAGAGCAACAAGAAACAUAUUCAUUGAACUAACAACCCUACCUAGGAAUCGGACCACAUAUAUCUGAUUCAUUGAUUUCAAUCUGUAUAGAGCCCUUGACUGAUAAACUUCUCCUUUGGCUUGCACUCUUUUCAAACGGC
rnacentral:lncRNA from 1 species